rnacentral:rRNA from 1 species
CCUACGGGGUGCAGCAGUGGGGGAUAUUGCACAAUGGGCGCAACCCUGAUGCAGCGACGCCGCGUGGGUGAAGAAGCGCCUCGGCGCGUAAAGCCCUGUCAGCCGGGAAGAAAAUGACGGUGCCUGAAGAAGAAGCCCCGGCUAACUACGUGCCAGCAGCCGCGGUAAUACGUCGGGGGCAAGCGUUAUCCGGCUUUACUGGGUGUAAAGGGGGCGCAGACGGCGAUGCACGCCAGGAGUGAAAGCCCGGGGCCCAACCCCGGGACUGCUCUUGAAACUGGGUGGCUGGAGUGCAGGAGGGGGAGGCGGAAUUCCUGGUGUAGCGGGGAAAUGCGUAGAUAUCAGGAGGAACACCGGUGGCGAAGGCGGCCUACUGGACUGCAACUGACGUUGAGGCCCGAAAGCGUGGGGAGCAAACAGGAUUAGAUACCCUAGUAGUC